rnacentral:rRNA from 1 species
AGAGUUUGAUCCUGGCUCAGAUCGAACGCUGGCGGCGUGCUUAACACAUGCAAGUCGAUCGGUAACAGGUGUAGCAAUACAUGCUGACGAGAGGCGGACGGGUGAGGAAUGUUUGGGAAUCUGCCCAUCAGCGGGGGACAACCCGGGGAAACCCGGGCUAAUACCGCAUACGCUCUAUGGAGGAAAGCCGGGGACCGCAAGGCCUGGCACUGAUGGAUGAGCCCAAAUCGGAUUAGCUAGUUGGCGGGGUGACGGCCCACCAAGGCUACGAUCCGUAGCUGGUCUGAGAGGACGAUCAGCCACACCGGAACUGAGACACGGUCCGGACUCCUACGGGAGGCAGCAGUGGGGAAUAUUGGACAAUGGGCGAAAGCCUGAUCCAGCGACGCCGCGUGGGUGAAGAAGGCCUGCGGGUUGUAAAGCCCUUUCGGUAGGGACGAAAACUCUCGACUUAACACGUCGAGGGAUUGACUUAACCUACAUAAGAAGCACCGGCUAACUCUGUGCCAGCAGCCGCGGUAAUACAGAGGGUGCGAGCGUUAAUCGGAAUUACUGGGCGUAAAGCGCACGUAGGCGGCUCUGCAAGUCGGUUGUGAAAUCCCCGGGCUCAACCUGGGAACUGCGACCGAGACUGCAUUACUAGAGUAUGGGAGAGGAAAGCGGAAUUUCUGGUGUAGCAGUGAAAUGCGUAGAUAUCAGAAGGAACAUCAGUGGCGAAGGCGGCUUUCUGGACCAAUACUGACGCUCAGGUGCGAAAGCGUGGGGAGCAAACAGGAUUAGAUACCCUGGUAGUCC